rnacentral:piRNA from 1 species
UAAAAAUUGGUUCUCCAUGAA